rnacentral:rRNA from 1 species
AUUGAACGCUGGCGGCAUGCUUUACACAUGCAAGUCGAACGGUAACAGGCCGCAAGGUGCUGACGAGUGGCGAACGGGUGAGUAAUGCAUCGGAACGUGCCCAGUCGUGGGGGAUAACGCAGCGAAAGCUGCGCUAAUACCGCAUACGAUCUAUGGAUGAAAGCGGGGGACCGUAAGGCCUCGCGCGAUUGGAGCGGCCGAUGUCAGAUUAGGUAGUUGGUGGGGUAAAGGCUCACCAAGCCAACGAUCUGUAGCUGGUCUGAGUGGACGACCAGCCACACUGGGACUGAGAUACGGCCCAGACUCCUACGGGAGGCAGCAGUGGGGAAUUUUGGACAAUGGGCGCAAGCCUGAUCCAGCAAUGCCGCGUGCAGGAAGAAGGCCUUCGGGUUGUAAACUGCUUUUGUACGGAACGAAACGGUCCUGGUUAAUACCUGGGGCUAAUGACGGUACCGUAAGAAUAAGCACCGGCUAACUACGUGCCAGCCGCCGCGGUAAGAC